UUUCCGUUGGUGAACCAGCGGAGGGAUCAUUACUGGAAUCGCAAGAUCCCACAACCCUGUGAACCUACCGAAACGUUGCCUCGGCGGGUGCCCGGCCUCUGCGCCGGGCGCUGCGCCCGCCGGCGGCCCCCUACUCUGUCUCUGCAGCGUGGCAUCUCAGAGUCCCAGAAAACAAGUCAAAACUUUCAACAACGGAUCUCUUGGCUCUAGCAUCGAUGAAGAAGCAGC
rnacentral:misc_RNA from 1 species